AUUUUAAGUCUAAUCUGCCCAAUGAAUAAUUAAAUGGCUGCAGUAUUUUAACUGUACAAAGGUAGCAUAAUAAUUAGUUUCUUAAUUAGGAACUGGAAUGAAUGAUUGGACGAAACAGUGACUGUCUUAGUUUAAAUUUUAGAAUUUUAUUUUUGAGUUAAAAAGCUUAAAUUUUUUUAAAAGACGAGAAGACCCUAUAGAAUUUUAUAUUAUUUGAAUAUUUUGUUAUUAGGAUUUUAAUAUAGAAUUUUUUAAUUAGUAUUUAGUUGGGGUGAUUGAAAAAUUUAAUAAACUUUUUUUAUUAUUAACAUUGAUGUAUGAUUAUAUGAUCCAGUUUUUCUGAUUAUAAGAUUAAAUUACCUUAGGGAUAACAGCGUAAUUUUUUUAGAGAGUUCUAAUCGAUAAAAGAGAUUGCGACCUCGAUGUUGGAUUAAAGUUUAUUUUUAAUGUAGGAGUUAAAAUAUUAGGUCUGUUCGACCUUUAAAACUUUACAUGAUCUGAGUUUAAACCGGUGUGAGCCAGGUUGGAUUCUAUCUUUAAUUAAAUUAAAUAUUUUAGUACGAAAGGACCAAGUAUUUAUUAUAAUAAUUUUAUUAGAA
rnacentral:rRNA from 1 species